UACGGAAGGGGGCUAGCGUUGCUCGGAAUCACUGGGCGUAAAGCGCACGUAGGCGGAUCUUUAAGUCAGGGGUGAAAUCCCAAGGCUCAACCUUGGAACUGCCUUUGAUACUGGGGAUCUCGAGUCCGGAAGAGGUUGGUGGAACUGCGAGUGUAGAGGUGAAAUUCGUAGAUAUUCGCAAGAACACCAGUGGCGAAGGCGGCCAACUGGUCCGGUACUGACGCUGAGGUGCGAAAGCGUGGGGAGCAAACAGGG
rnacentral:rRNA from 1 species